AAUAAGUAUAGAUUUACACUGUUUAUAUACAACGUUUAACCGUUUGUCUUAUUUGAAAGUUUUUUAUAAUUACUAACUUUGUUAUUAUUAGAUAAUAAAACAUAAAUAACUCUUUUUGUGUGACUAAUUUUUUAAUAUCUUCAUAAAUUUUUUAAAUAAGAUGAACGGUCCAACGUUGGACACGAAUACCUACGGCUGCACUUAUU
rfam:Oryza nivara chromosome 8, whole genome shotgun sequence.